rnacentral:misc_RNA from 1 species
CUCAGUGAACGCAUGCGUACUCGUGCAGGCGGAUAAGCAAAACCCUAGAGCAAGAUGCGUUCGUGUGCGAUAGUGCUGCACCGCGGCGCCGUGCCGGUGAGCGUGCGGCCUCUUCUUCUUGGAACAGCACUUCGCAGCGCGUCGUCUCGCCGCCAGGUGCAGUUUGCAGCGCCGACCGGCGCAGGUCAUGCCGCUGGUGUCGCUGUCUCCGCGCUGGGUGAGCAACGGCGCACUCAGUACGCGCAGAUGCCGGGCAAGCGUGAGCAGGAGGCCUUCCUUUCGCAGUUCGACCCGCUAGAGGUGCUCGACCUGCCGACGGACAGCACGGUGGAGGACAUCGAUGCUGCCUUUGAAAAGGCGAAGGCCAAGUACGGCCCCAACGGGAAGUACCCUGAUGCCAAGAUGGUAGACCGUGUUUUCCAAGCCUACGAGAUCUUGAAGGAUCCGGACUCGCCAUACUAUCUCAAGGCGCACAGCAGCCAGACGGAUCGUCAGCGCUUGCAGUUCCAGCUGCUCCCCAAGUCCAAGCGCCGCUUAAUUGAGUUUCAGGUGUGCCUCUUGAUGCUGAUCGUGCUUGGUGUGGCUGUGCUCGUCAUGAGGCUUGUGCUGCGUCCCAUGAACCGCUCCAUUCGUGCGGCAACGCGCUAAGACGCAAAGAGAGAAGAAAAUCUGACUCUCUGCCGGACACCCAUGCAUGCGCGUUCGUGCGAGUGUGUGCUUGUGUGCACACUUGCCUGAUCGAACGUCUGAGCGUCAGCGCAGUGUCUUGUAGUCGUGCCGAUGUGUUGGCUGGUUGCCUUUCUGUUGCACGCGCGGUUGCUGCGUCCGCACUGUUGCUUAGCUCUGUUUAACGGAAUGCCUUCGUUUCUUGUCCCUCUCUUCGCUCUCCGCCGUACCUUUUCCUCUCACCCUGAUCCUCUCGUCGGGUCUGCAAGUGAUGGUGACGGCGGCAGCACACAUCGAGGCCACCCCCCUCCAUAUCGCCUGUUUCAGAGGAGAAAAUAGACGGCGCCGGAUGAGGCACCAUCAUAACACCCAAACAAGAGAGCGAGGUGGAGUCGAUGCAGCGGCACCUGCUCCGUGGGUGAAUUGUUCACAGCUCGGUGGGCGAGUGGUGGCAGCAGAUAGAGAGAGGGGGCGGAGGAGGGGGGGAGGCAGAGGGAAGGGGAGGGAUGAGGGCGGCUCAGC